rnacentral:misc_RNA from 1 species
AACUUUUGACAACGGAUCUCUUGGCUCUGGCAUCGAUGAAGAACGCAGCGAAAUGCGAUAAGUAAUGCGAAUUGCAGAUUUCAGUGAGUCAUCGAAUCUUUGAACGCACAUUGCGCCCUCUAGUAUCCUGGAGGGCAUGCCUGUUCGAGCGUCACUACAACACUCAAGCUCUGCUUGGCGUUGGGGCCCUACGACCUACCCGUUGUAAGCCCUUAAAAUCAGUGGCGGGACCGCUGGGGACCCGGGCGAAGUAAUACUUACAGCGCCAAGGGACACCCAGUCGGUCUCCUGCCGUAAAACGAUAAUACAUAUCUCAAGUGUUGACCUCGGAUCAGGUAGGAAUACCCGCUGAACUUAAGCAUAUCAAUAAGCGGAGGCU